UACGAGUGAAAUUACGUUGGGUGA
rnacentral:miRNA from 1 species